GCGGUACCGGUUCACGCCCGCGGGCGACCCGGCGACC
rnacentral:ncRNA from 1 species